rnacentral:rRNA from 1 species
CCUACGGGUGACAGCAGUGAGGAAUAUUGGUCAAUGGCCGGAAGGCUGAACCAGCCAUGCCGCGUGAAGGUCAGUGCCCUAUGGGCGUUAAACUUCUUUUGUGCGGGAGCAAUAAUGGUCACGUGUGGCCAGACGAGAGUACCGUACGAAUAAGCAUCGGCUAACUCCGUGCCAGCAGCCGCGGUAAUACGGGGGAUGCAAGCGUUAUCCGGAUUUAUUGGGUUUAAAGGGUGCGUAGGCUGUGAGGUAAGUCAGCGGUGAAAUGCCCCCGCUCAACGGGGUGAAGUGCCAUUGAUACUGCCUGGCUGGAAUGCGGAUGCCGUGGGAGGAAUGUGUGGUGUAGCGGUGAAAUGCAUAGAUAUCACAAAGAACACCGAUUGCGAAGGCAUCUCACGAAUCCGCGAUUGACGCUGAUGCACGAAAGCGUGGGUAUCAAACAGGAUUAGAUACCCGAGUAGUC